rnacentral:rRNA from 1 species
AGUGAACGCUGGCGGUAGGCCUAACACAUGCAAGUCGAACGGCAGCACAGUAAGAGCUUGCUCUUACGGGUGGCGAGUGGCGGACGGGUGAGGAAUACAUCGGAAUCUACUUUUUCGUGGGGGAUAACGUAGGGAAACUUACGCUAAUACCGCAUACGGCCUACGGGUGAAAGCAGGGGAUCUUCGGACCUUGCGCGAUUGAAUGAGCCGAUGUCGGAUUAGCUAGUUGGCGGGGUAAAGGCCCACCACGGCGACGAUCCGUAGCUGGUCUGAGAGGAUGAUCAGCCACACUGGAACUGAGACACGGUCCAGACUCCUACGGAAGGCAGCAGUGGGGAAUAUUGGACAAUGGGCGCAAGCCUGAUCCAGCCAUACCGCGUGGGUGAAGAAGGCCUUCGGGUUGUAAAGCCCUUUUGUUGGGAAAGAAAAGCAGCAGGUUAAUACCCCGCUGUUCUGACGGUACCCAAAGAAUAAGCACCGGCUAACUUCGUG